AUCACUCAUCAGCCUUUUGGCUAAGAUCAAGUGUA
rnacentral:snRNA from 1 species